rnacentral:tRNA from 1 species
CAAAGUGUAGCUUAAAUUAAAGCAUCUGGCCUACACCCAGAAGAUCUCACAACAACCG